rnacentral:rRNA from 1 species
UACGAAGGGGCUAGCGUUGCUCGGAAUUACUGGGCGUAAAGCGCACGUAGGCGGUCUUUAAGUCGGGGGUGAAAUCCUGGAGCUCAACUCCAGAACUGCCUUCGAUACUGGAAGACUUGAGUCCGGGAGAGGUGAGUGGAACUGCGAGUGUAGAGGUGAAAUUCGUAGAUAUUCGCAAGAACACCAGUGGCGAAGGCGGCUCACUGGCCCGGUACUGACGCUGAGGUGCGAAAGCGUGGGAGCAAACAGG